UAUCGUCUAACCUAACGCAUGAGUGGAUCAGGUAGUAAUUAUCUACAUUUCUUAAAGAUUAAACAACUAUCCUUGUUAUUCCAAUAAUAGGAUUUAUUUCACAAGGGUACAACUGUUGACAACAUGACAAGAUUGGUCUCUGUAAUUUUGGUUUUAGUAUGUCAGAUUGGAUUAUCAAUGCAGGCAUGUGCUGAAUGUGUAUGUUGUAAAGAAAACUUUACUUGUGAUUCCAACAAGAAUUGUAUCAAUGGUUGUAUUGACGGUUAUUAUGGUGCAAAAUGCACAGAGGUGUGUCUAGAAAAUUGUAAAACUUGUGUAAAUGGUAAUGAAUGUACAUAAUGUAAACCUGGUUAUUAUGCCUACAGAUGCAAUUUGCAAUGUGGGAAAGGGUGUCUAAACAAUACAUGUUCGUUAUCAUCAGGGGAAUGUGUUUGUAAAUCGUCUUAUUUUACUGGAAAUAAAUGUGAUGUUUGUGCAGGUUCAAUGUACGGUGAUAAAUGUAACAACACGUGUC